AUGGAUCCCCUCUAUCGUCCCGAAUUCCUCAUCCUUCUGCUGAAGCAGGAAGGACGCUCUCUCGAGGACCACACCAGAUGGUUUCUCCUAUUAGCUAAUGCCACCAGCUACCCGGACGACGCGCUCUGCACCUUCUACAACACCAGCCUGAACUCCAAGUGCAGAGCGUUGUCGCCCGAAGAUGGUCCUCGGGAGGAUUUCGCCGCAUACGUGGAGUGGACUCUGGCGAGAAAUGGCUCAUCUCUCACCAUCUGCCCCAUAGAGGACCUCGCCAGCCCCACUCCCGACCCAGAGACCAGCCAGCCACCAUCACGCCGCACGGAGCCAGAGCCCACCGCAGCCGCAGAGCCCGAGCCAUCCACUGACAGGGAGCCGGAACUCGAGAGCGCGACUGACCAGGUGUGUGAGCCGGCAACACCGUGCAUCGUGGGAGUCCUCGUGGAGAUCGAGGGCGUGGAGGAAAGCCCUGCCCACACUCCUGCGACUGAGGGUGAGCUGUAUACAGUCUCUGAAGGUCAUAUGGAGCAAGCUCUGGAUCUGAUGGACUGGUCUAUGGAGGUAAUCCCUAAUUUUCCUGUUUCCCCGCUGGUUCCGUCCAGCCCUGAUUCCCCUGUAUACCCUCUCAGUCUCCCACUCCUACCUCCUCCAGUCAUUUCCUCUGCUCCAUUUCUGCUGGUUCCGCCCAGCCCUGAGUUUUCUGUUUCUCCGCUGGUUCCGCCCAGCCCUGAGUUUUCUGUUUCUCCGCUGGUUACGCCCAGCCCUGAGUUUUCUGUUUCUCCGCUGGUUCCGCCCAGCCCUGAGUUUUCUGUUUCUCCGCUGGUUACGCCCAGCCCUGAGUUUUCUGUUUCUCCGCUGGUUACGCCCAGCCUUGAAUCUUCUGUGUCUCCGCUGGUUCCGCCCAGCUCUGAAUCUUCUGUGUCUCCGCUGGUUCCUCCCAGCUCUGAAUCUUCUGUGUCUCCGCUGGUUCCGCCCAGCCUUGAAUCUUCUGUGUCUCCGCUGGUUCCGCCCAGCUCUGAAUCUUCUGUGUCUCCGCUGGUUCCGCCCAGCUCUGAAUCUUCUGUGUCUCCGCUGGUUCCGCCCAGCUCUGAAUCUUCUGUGUCCCCGCUGGUUCCGCCCAGCUCUGAAUCUUCUGUGUCUCCACUGGUUCCGCCCAGCUCUGAAUCUUCUGUGUCUCCUGUAUUCCCUCCCAGCCUCCCUCUCCCGCCUCCUCCCAAACCUGCUGGUCCCUCUACUCCUCUUUCGCUGGUUCCGUCCAGUCCUGAUCCUCCUGUCCUUCCUCCCAUCCUUCUCCUCUCUCCUCCUCCUAGACCAGCCAGUUCCUCGUCAUCCCUGCUGGUGCCAGUCAGUCCCGCAGCUCACCCUCAGUCCGCGCCAUCGGGGCGCGGUGGUUCGCCGCUGGACUGCUAG
rnacentral:lncRNA from 1 species